rnacentral:misc_RNA from 1 species
CUCUCUUCUCGGUAAUUUGAAUUAAGCAUGGCUAGUUCCCGCAAUUGCUGCCUCUUGAUAAAAUCUUGUGACUCAUCCACAGGUUUGAGCAGUUCUUCUAUAAUUUCUUGCGCCUGUCUCAGCCUCAUAUCAACAAUAUUGGCAGGCAAAUCAGCUUCAAUUAAUAUGUGAAGUGGAUCAUUCAGAUGUUCAUAGCCAGGUCUUCCCCUUAGCUUCUCUUCCUUGUCUGGGUCCUUUAUUG